rnacentral:rRNA from 1 species
CCUACGGGAGGCAGCAGUGGGGAAUAUUGCGCAAUGGGCGAAAGCCUGACGCAGCGACGCCGCGUGAGGGAUGAAGGUCUUCGGAUCGUAAACCUCUGUCAGCAGGGAAGAACGGUCACUGUGCUAAUCAGCAGUGAAUUGACGGUACCUGCAAAGGAAGCACCGGCUAACUCCGUGCCAGCAGCCGCGGUAAUACGGAGGGUGCGAGCGUUAAUCGGAAUUACUGGGCGUAAAGCGCUCGUAGGCGGUAUGUCAAGUCAAGGGUGAAAUCCCCGCGCUCAACGUGGGAACUGCCUUUGAAACUGGCAAACUGGAGUGUGUGAGAGGAUAGUGGAAUUCCAGGUGUAGGAGUGAAAUGCGUAGAUAUCAGGAGGAACAUCAGUGGCGAAGGCGACUAUCUGGCACAUAACUGACGCUGAGGAGCGAAAGCGUGGGUAGCAAACAGGAUUAGAUACCCUAGUAGUC